UCAGGCCUAACACAUGCAAGUCGAGCGGUAGCAGGAAGUGCUUGCACUUCGCUGACGAGCGGCGGACGGGUGCGUAACACGUAGGAAUCUGCCUGGUAGUGGGGGAUAGCCCGGAGAAAUCCGGAUUAAUACCGCAUACGCCCUACGGGGGAAAGGAGGGGACCCGUUUCUUUUAUAAGAAGCGAGCCUUUCGCUAUCAGAUGAGCCUGCGUCGGAUUAGCUUGUUGGUGGGGUAAAGGCCUACCAAGGCGACGAUCCGUAGCUGGUCUGAGAGGAUGAUCAGCCACACUGGGACUGAGACACGGCCCAGACUCCUACGGGAGGCAGCAGUGGGGAAUAUUGCACAAUGGGCGAAGGCCUGAUGCAGCCAUGCCGCGUGUGUGAAGAAGGCCCUAGGGUUGUAAAGCACUUUCAGUGGGGAGGAAAGGUUGAAGGUUAAUACCCUUCAGCUGUGACGUUACCCACAGAAGAAGCACCGGCUAACUCCGUGCCAGCAGCCGCGGUAAUACGGAGGGUGCGAGCGUUAAUCGGAAUUACUGGGCGUAAAGCGUGCGUAGGCGGCCACCUAAGUUGGAUGUGAAAGCCCCGGGCUCAACCUGGGAACUGCAUCCAAAACUGGGUGGCUAGAGUACGGGAGAGGAGUGUGGAAUUUCCUGUGUAGCGGUGAAAUGCGUAGAUAUAGGAAGGAACACCAGUGGCG
rnacentral:rRNA from 1 species